rnacentral:rRNA from 1 species
AUACGUAGGGGGCGAGCGUUGUCCGGAAUGAUUGGGCGUAAAGGGCGCGUAGGCGGCCCGGUAAGUCUGGAGUGAAAGUCCUGUUUUUAAGAUGGGAAUUGCUUUGGAUACUGUCGGGCUUGAGUGCAGGAGAGGUAAGUGGAAUUCCCAGUGUAGCGGUGAAAUGCGUAGAGAUUGGGAGGAACACCAGUGGCGAAGGCGACUUACUGGACUGUAACUGACGCUGAGGCGCGAAAGUGUGGGGAGCAAACAGGAUUAGAUACCCUGGUAGUCCACACUGUAAACGAUGAAUGCUAGGUGUAGGGGGUAUCGACCCCUUCUGGGCCGCAGUUAACACAAUAAGUAUUCCGCCUGGGGAGUACGGCCGCAAGGUUGAAACUCAAAGGAAUUGACGGGG